GUCAAUAAGGAUGGGGAUAUCAUUGGAGGCGCUGAAGCAACAAAAGAGAAAUCAACGCUUUAGGCCAUAUUUUUGUGCGCUUUAUUAAUAAUUGAAAUCAACACAAUAAAAAAUGAAGAGAGUUAUAAAACUUGU
rnacentral:ribozyme from 11 species